ensembl:misc_RNA Metazoa_SRP Metazoan signal recognition particle RNA
GCUGGGCAUGGUGGCGCGUGCCUGUAGUCCCAGCUACUCAGGAGGCUGAGGCAGGAGAAUUGCUUGAAUCCGGGAGGCAGAGGUUGCAGUGAGCUGAGAUUGUGCCACUGCACUCCAGCCUGGGUGACAGAGUGAGACUCUGUCUCAA